rnacentral:rRNA from 1 species
UACGGAGGGUGCGAGCGUUGUCCGGAAUCACUGGGCGUAAAGGGCGCGUAGGCGGCUGGGGAAGUCGGCGGUGAAAGCCCGGAGCUCAACUCCGGGUCGGCCGUCGAGCAUCCUCGGCGUCGAGCUCACUAGAGGCAGAUGGAAUUCCGGGUGUAGCGGUGGAAGUGCGUAGAGAUCCCGGAAGAACACCGGUGGCGAAGGCGGUCUGCUGGGGUGAGGCUGACGCUGGAGGCGCGAGCAGCGUGGGGAGCAA